CUGACAGUCCUGCCCCCCACCCCACACACAGAGUUCCGCUCUUUUCCCCAGGCUGCGAAGUUGGCAGUGGCUUCAGGAAGAAACAACCCAGAGAUGGGGGUCUGACUGGUGGGGACUUUGUGUGUGCUAGCCAAGUGAGGGGCACGAGCAGGGUAGGGUGUGAGAGAGGGCCUAGGGCCCGUCCUUGCCAGGGCCUGCCUCUGCCCUCUCUGAUGGGCCCAGUCCAGCUCCUGUCCACCUGUUUCUGCCCACAGUGCCUGUCUGUGGAGGCUAUCUUGGCCCUGGGUAGGCCUGACAAGCCAGGGCUGGCUCCAGGACCAGUCCUAGAGUCCAGGUACAUAGCCCGCCUCAGUGCCGCUGCAGCUCUCUAUCUUAGCAAUCCAGAGAGGACAUGUGCAGACAUCCAGGCUGGCCGCUGGGCCUCCCAGGCCGACCACUUCCUGGUCCUACUGGAGAGUUCUGAGGCCCUGACCCAGGGCCUAAGUCAGCUGCUGCAGAAGAUCAAGGCCCAGUCUGCUGGCCGGCCUGCUGGGGAAGAGGUGAGGGCCCAUGAGGGCUGGUCAGGAAGUAGGGUAAAGUGGCCAGAACACAGGAAGGGGCCAUUAGGGGGUCAGUCCUGACUAAAGCAGGGGAAACACCCACACAAUGCCCUCCAGGCUCUGGGGGAUCUCAUAGGGGUUUACACUGACUGGGUCAGGGACUGCCAGAGCCAGGAGUCCCAGUGAAGACGGAGUAGGGUGUGGGGUUCCCCAGUGACGGCAGACCAGGAAGGCUCUGGUGCCCCAAGAAGGCCAGAGAGCAGACUGGGGGCCUGGACUAGCUGGGCCAGGGCAGGGCUGGGCUUUGGCCCCAGAAGAACUGAGGCUAGCCAGGUCGUAGGUGAGAAGGAAGAAGUGGUUCCGAAUCCAGGAAGUGCAUCAGUCUGGUGGGUGCAGACCUGUGAAUCAGUGGGAGACAUAUCCAACAGGUAAAGGCAGAGCUGGAGCCAGAAGUUCAUUGAGGGUGGGGCUGAGGCCCAUCCGUCAUAAGUGGUUACUACAGACUCAGUCUGAGGCACAGUUAGAUCCAACCAAAUCUGUUUUAUUAAUGCUCACCACACUUUAGACAUCCUAAUUCUAAGUCCUAACUGAGUCAACGCCAAGGGUCCCAGGUGCUCACCUGUGACAUGUCUUAAGUCUGGGUCGCUGGAACUCAUCCAAGCCAGAGGAGUCUGGUGCAGGGGGAAAAACAGCAACGGAGGCCUCGGUCUCUUUGUCCAGGUCCUGUUGGUCCCGUCGCCCCAUAGAAGUCUGGGUUUUUAAGUCCUAGUUCAGUUGUGCUUGUGGCAGAUGACUGGGUGUAGACGCUUACAUCACUAACUGAAGUCUGUCUCUAAGUGUUGCAGUUCACAGUGCAUCAUGGGCACAUUACUUACAGUCAUAGACUCAUUCACUCAACCCACUAAUUAAUACUAAUUAACAUAAUCAACAAUCAAUAACCCUAUAAUAAUUCUGGUGCUCCUAUCACUAUCCCCUCCCCAGGCCUGUGUAGACGUCCCUCAGCUGCUGGAGGAGGCAGUGGAGGCAGGAGCUCCUCAAAACCCGGGCCCUGUCCUGGCCGCCCUGUUAGACCACUUCAGGAACGGGUCCUGCUUCCAUGCCCUGCCAAGCCCUCAGUACUUUGUGGACUUUGUGUUCCGGCAGCAUAGCAGCGAAGCUCUCAACAUGACAUUGGCGGGUGAGACCUGGGCUGAGACCCCCCAGGCUCCAUGUCCCUGGGAAGGGCGGACCUGGAGCCCAUAGACUGGGCACUACUUCUGUCCUUCCUAACAGAGCUGGAAGCUUUGAUGAAGCGCCUGGGAGUGGGUGGAGAGGCCCACAGUGACCACAACCACAGUGACCAUGAUGACCACAGUCAACUGGAUAGGGAGGCCAACAACCGGGACCCCGUUCCCCUUGCCAUCCUCAACAGCAGCUCCAGUGUGUGGGACACGGUGAGCCACCUGUGCAGUCUUAGGAGGACUGGGGCCCCAUGGGUGCAUGCUCAGCCCCUGACCCCUGUUCUGCACACCUCCCCACAGGUGUGCCUGAGUGCCAGGGAGGUAAUGGCUGUUUAUGGGCUGUCUGAGAAGACUGGGGUGAGCCCCGAAGCCUGGACCAGAUUGAGCCCUGCCCUGCUCCAGCAGCAACUGAGCGGGGCCUGCAGCCCCCAGGCAAAGUCACCCACCCAGGACCAGCUCAGCCAGACAGAGAGUGCGUGCCCAACCCCCCAGCUGGGCCUACCUGGCUGUGCCCCAAGGUGCUGGCCUCAGGAGGGGGGCCCACCUAGGGAAGAGGGAGUGGCUACUGGGAAUGGGGAGGAAUGGAGGUAGGGAGGGAGGCAGGCAAGGAUGGAGGCCUGCAAGGGGGCUCAGGGAGGCUUUGAGAUAGGAGGGCCAGUGUAAGCAAAGGCCUUUGCUGACCACGGGCAGCGCUGGUGAACUCCUGCUCAUCCCCUGGCUGGGCUUGGGAAGCAGGGGGUUCUCAGUGUGGCCUCACCCCCUAGGGUAUCUGUAUGGCUCCCUGGCCACACUGCUCAUCUGCCUCUGUGCUGUGCUUGGCCUCCUGCUGCUGACCUGUGCCAGUUGCAGCUCUGCCACCCACUAUGUCAUGCAGACCUUCCUGAGCAUGGCCGUGGGUGCACUCACUGGUGACGCCCUCCUGCACCUGACACCCAAGGUCUGUCCUCACCCAUCAGCCAGAGUCCUUCCUUUCCCUCCCUCUCCUGGCCUUCCCCAGACCCAGCCUUUCACCCCUGUGGGCCCUAAAUCCCACCCCCCUGCCCACACUCUGCUCCCCAGGUGUUGGGGCUGCACACGCACAGUGGAGAGGACCACACACACAGUGGGGAGGGCCUUGGCCCACAGUCCACCUGGCGUCUACUGGCUGUGCUGGGAGGCCUUUACAUCUUCUUCCUGUUUGAGAGCCUCUUCAACAUCCUGCUGCCCAAGGACCAGGUCAGGCUCGUGGGGACCCAAUGGGUACACAGGAAGGAGACUUGAAAGCCCCUGACCACCUUCCCCACAGGAUCCAGAGAAGGACGGGCACUGCAGCCAUGGUGGCCACAGCCACGGUGUGUCCCUGCAGCUGGCGCCCAGCGAGCUCCGGCAGCCCAAGCAGGCCCACGAGGGCUCUAGCGCAGAGCUGGUGAGUGGGCCACCCCUGCUCCAUGCAGAGCCUGGUUCAGGAGAACCCUCCAUAGUCCCGUGACCUGUCCCCAUGCCAAGGCCUGACCCCUUCUGCACCUCAGCCAGGGCUCCCCCUCGCUCCUCCCAGGUGGCAGAGGAGAGCCCGGAGCUGCUGAACCCCGAGACCCGGAGGCUGAACCCAGGUGAGCUCUGGGGAGGCGCGGAGCACCAGGGCCUGCGGUCCGUGGGCGGGCGGCGGGCGGGAGUAGUCCUGAGAGGACGCAUGCCCAUGGCGCCCGCAGAGCUGAGGCUGCUACCCUACCUGAUCACCCUGGGCGACGCCGUGCACAACUUCGCUGACGGACUGGCCGUGGGCGCGGCCUUCGCGUCCUCCUGGAAGACCGGGCUGGCCACCUCCCUGGCGGUGUUCUGCCACGAGGUGCCUCACGAGCUGGGUGAGCUGCGGGGACAAGGCCUGCUUUGGUGGGCGGGGAUACCGGUCAGGGCGUGGCCUCUGUGGUGGGGGGACCCUGGGAAGUGGGGGGACCCUAGGUGCCGGGCGCACCUCGCCAGGGGGUGAGGCUGGCUACCCGGGGCAGCAGCGGGUCAGUCCUGAAGGUGGGCUGGGCCUGCCCGCCGCGCGGACCUCUGGACGGGACCCUGCCCACAGGGGACUUCGCGGCCCUGCUGCACGCGGGGCUGUCGGUGCGCCGUGCGCUGCUGCUGAACCUGGCCUCGGCUCUCACGGCCUUUGCCGGCCUCUACGUGGCGCUUGCAGUCGGAGUCGGCGAGGAGAGCGAGGCCUGGAUCCUGGCAGUAGCCACAGGCCUCUUCCUCUACGUGGCGCUCUGUGACAUGGUCAGGGGGCAGCCGGGAGCCUGGGGUGGGGAGCUGAGAAGGUGCCUAAGCCGCCCACUAACCCAGUGCCCCCUCCUCAGCUCCCGGCCAUGCUCAAUGUGCGGGACCGCAGGCCCUGGCUCCUCUUCCUGCUGCACCAUGUGGGCCUGCUGGGCGGCUGGACCGUCCUGCUGCUGCUGUCACUGUACGAGGACAAUAUCACCCUUUAAUAAUCCUGCCCCUGUCUACAGCUGUUGACUCUGCCCCUGACCAGGGCUCCUCAUACCUUUGGAUGGGCUCAGCAGCCAGAGAACCCCAGGGCCUCGAGAGUCCCCUUCUCCCUCCCCAGGUUUGGAGCCCCUAUUUCAAUAAAGACAGCCUUAUCCUUGAA
rnacentral:lncRNA from 1 species